CCAGUAAAUAUAUGCUCUUUUCUAAGAUUAAGCCAUGCACGUUUCAGUUCAUACAUUUCAACUGUGAGACUGCGGAAGGCUCAGUAUAUCAGUUAUAAUCUAUUUGAUUGUACAGCCCAAUGGAUAACCGUGGGAAAUCUAGAGCUAAUACAUGCACACUUAUUUGCAAGGCGUCAAAACCUUGCAAGGCAUUUAUUGGACCAAUACCAACUGUACAUUAGGGGUUAACGCCUCUGACGUACAAGGUGAAUCUAGAUAACUUUGCCGAUCGCAUGGCUUCGGGCCGGCGACGUUUCAAUUGAAUUUCUGCCCUAUCAACUUGUUGGUAAGAUAGAUGCUUACCAAGGUGGCGACGGGUAACGGGGGAUCAGGGUUCGAUUCCGGAGAGGGAGCCUGAGAAAUGGCUACCACAUCCAAGGACGGCAGCAGGCGCGCAAAUUACCCAAUCCAGACAAUGGGAGGUGGUGACGAGAAAUACUAGUCAGUGUCUCAAAAGGACGCUGAUCUGGAAUGGACGCAAUUUAAGCAAUUCGAUGAGUAACAACUGGAGGGCAAGUCUAGUGCCAGCAGCCGCGGUAAUUCUAGCUCCAGUGGUGUAUUUUAAUGUUGCUGCGUUUAAAACGCUCGUAGUUGGAUUACGCAGUGCGAGUCGGUCAAUCAGCAGAGCUUCACAUUCAAACCGAGGCGUUGUGGCCAUGAACCGGGUUUCCUUGAACGUGACAUGGCGUCUCGGUGUGUUGCAUGUCGAUUAUCAGCCGGCCCACACUACUUGUACGUGAGGAUGGCGGUUGACCUUUAGUGCGUUGACUGUUCGUGUCUCACGGAGUGUGCCUUGAAUAAAUCAGAGUGCUCAAAGCAGGCUUACGCUUGAAUGUUAAUAGCAUGGAACGAACAAUUGUGUUAUACGUGUCUGUAUCUAUCGCUGGAUGGAUUUAUUUUGUCCAGUUGUAGGUGCAGUUCACAUCACCAACCGCCAAUAACGGAUGUUGGUUUCCGUAUUGGGGUGAUGAUUAAAAGGAGCGAUUGGGGGCAUUGGUAUUUGGCCGCGAGAGGUGAAAUUCUUGGACCGGCCAAGGACUAACAAAUGCGAAGGCAAUUGCCAAGAUCGUUUCCAUUAAUCAAGAACGACAGUCCGAGGUUCGAAGUCGAUCAGAUACCGACUUAGUUCGGACCGUAAACUAUGCCGACCCGAGAUCAGUUUUGAGCUAAUAAACGCUCGAGGUUGCUCUCCCUGGGAAACCUCAAGUUUUUAGGUUACGGGGGGAGUAUGGUUGCAAAGCUGAAACUUAAAGGAAUUGACGGAAGGGCACCACCAGGGGUGGAGCCUGCGGCUUAAUUUGACUCAACACGGGAAAACUCACCUGGUCCGGACAUCGAAAGGAUAGACAGACUGAUAGAUCUUUCUUGAUACGUUGGUUGGUGGUGCAUGGCCGUUCUUAGUUCGUGGAGUGAUCUGUCAGGUUGAUUCCGGUAACGGACGAGACCAUAUUCUCCAUUUGAGGAAUGCAAAAACUCAGUUUGGGUGUGUUGGUUCGCCAGCAUGUUCUCUCUGUAGCUGGUAGUUGCUGAAUAACCGAGUUUGACCAUCAUUAUGAGGAAGAGGGUAACUUUGACCAAGUCUUGGUGGCCAAAUUCGGGGAUGCUGUACGCCUUUGCAAUAAACGGUGGCAGGCAACUGUUCACUGUCUUAUGGAGAGACAACGAUAUAUACGUCAAAAAUCGAGGACGUGUGGCGAUAACAGGUCUGUGAUGCCCUAAGAUGUUCAGGGCCGCACGCGCGCUACAAUGAUAACGUCAGCGAGUAUCUGGGUUGUCAAACUUGGGUAAUCUUGUCAAUCGUUAUCGUGAUGGGGAUUGAUCGUUGUAAUUGUCGGUCAUGAAAGAGGAAUCCCUAGUAUGUGCACUUCAUUAGAGUGUACAGAUUAAGUCCCUGCCCUUUGUACACACCGCCCGUCGCUACUACCGAGUGAAUGGUGUCCUGAUGCUUUGGGACUGGACGUCAUUCGCCUUUUCGGAGGCGAAGUGAUGCUGGGAUCAAA
rnacentral:rRNA from 1 species